UGCCAGCGAUCCGCUGCUGCGAUUCAAGCGACAGGCCACCACCGAGGAGACCAAGAAGGAGGAGUCCUUCGAGAAGGAGCUCUGCAAGGACAAGGACGCCGGCGAGUGGUUCCGUCUGGUGGCCGGCGAGGGCGACAACUGCCGCGACGUCAUCCAAUGUACCUCAUCGGGCCUGCAAGCCAUCCGUUGCCCUGCUGGUCUGUACUUCGAUAUCGAGAAGCAGACGUGCGACUGGAAGGAGUCGGUGAAGAACUGCAAGUCCAAGAACAAGGAGCGCCGGGUGAAGCCCCUGCUCCACACAGAUGAGCCCCUCUGCCAGGACGGAUUCCUCGCCUGCGGCGAUGGAAACUGCAUUGAGCGCGGACUCUUCUGCAACGGCGAGAAGGAUUGCUCAGAUGGAUCCGAUGAGAACACCUGUGCAUAUAGGCACUCCUUG
rnacentral:sRNA from 1 species